AAUGAACGUUGGCGGCGUGGAUUAGGCAUGCAAGUCGAGCGAGAACCCCGCAAGGGGGGACAGCGGCAAACGGGGUAGUAAUGUGUCGGAACGUGCCCAGAGGACGGGGAUAGCGGCGGGAAACUGCCGGUAAUACCCGAUGAUCUCGAGAGAGCAAAGGUGUGAUUCCGCCUUUGGAGCGGCCGACAUGGUAUUAGCUAGUUGGUGGGGUAACGGCCCACCAAGGCUUUGAUGCCUAGGGGAUGUGAGAGCAUGAUCCCCACCAUUGGGACUGAGACACUGCCCAGACACCUACGGGUGGCUGCAGUCGAGAAUCUUCGUCAAUGGGCGAAAGCCUGAACGAGCGACGCCGCGUGCGGGAUGAAGGCCUUUGGGUUGUAAACCGCUGUCGAGGGGGAUGAAGGCAUUCAGGUACUCCUGAAUGUUUGACAGAGCCCUGGAGGAAGCACGGGCUAAGUUCGUGCCAGCAGCCGCGGUAAUAC
rnacentral:rRNA from 1 species